rnacentral:rRNA from 1 species
GACGAACGCUGGCGGCGUGCUUAACACAUGCAAGUCGAACGGAAAGGCCCUGCUUUUGUGGGGUGCUCGAGUGGCGAACGGGUGAGUAACACGUGAGUAACCUGCCCUUGACUUUGGGAUAACUUCAGGAAACUGGGGCUAAUACCGGAUAGGAGCUCCUGCUGCAUGGUGGGGGUUGGAAAGUUUCGGCGGUUGGGGAUGGACUCGCGGCUUAUCAGCUUGUUGGUGGGGUAGUGGCUUACCAAGGCUUUGACGGGUAGCCGGCCUGAGAGGGUGAUCGGCCACAUUGGGACUGAGAUACGGCCCAGACUCCCACGGGAGGCAGCAGUGGGGAAUAUUGCACAAUGGGCGGAAGCCUGAUGCAGCAACGCCGCGUGCGGGAUGACGGCCUUCGGGUUGUAAACCGCUUUCGCCUGUGACGAAGCGUGAGUGACGGUAAUGGGUAAAGAAGCACCGGCUAACUACGUG